rnacentral:rRNA from 1 species
AUUGAACGCUGGCGGCAUGCCUUACACAUGCAAGUCGAACGGUAGCGGGCCUUCGGGUGCCGACGAGUGGCGAACGGGUGAGUAAUGUAUCGGAACGUACCUUUCGGUGGGGGAUAACGUAGCGAAAGUUGCGCUAAUACCGCAUAUUCUGUGAGCAGGAAAGCAGGGGAUCGCAAGACCUUGCGCUGAUUGAGCGGCCGAUAUCAGAUUAGCUAGUUGGUGAGGUAAAGGCUCACCAAGGCGACGAUCUGGAGCGGGUCUGAGAGGAUGAUCCGCCACACUGGAACUGAGACACGGUCCAGACUCCUACGGGAGGCAGCAGUGGGGAAUUUUGGACAAUGGGGCAACCCUGAUCCAGCCAUGCCGCGUGAGUGAAGAAGGCCUUCGGGUUGUAAAGCUCUUUCGGCCGGGAAGAAAUCGUAUCAGCUAAUACCUGGUGCGGAUGACGGUACCGGCAUAAGAAGCACCGGCUAACUACGUGCCAGCCGCCGCGGUAAUAC